rnacentral:sRNA from 1 species
UAAAGUUAGAACCACUGCCGCUGAUCGC